rnacentral:rRNA from 1 species
GACGAACGCUGGCGGCGUGCUUAACACAUGCAAGUCGUGCGGUAAGGCCCUUUCGGGGGUACACGAGCGGCGAACGGGUGAGUAACACGUGAGCAACCUGCCCUUCACUUUGGGAUAACUGCCGGAAACGGUGGCUAAUACCGGAUAUGACUUCCUCACGCAUGUGGGGUGGUGGAAAGCCUCUGGGGGGUGGGGGAUGGGCUCGCGGUCUAUCAGCUUGUUGGUGGGGUGAUGGCCUAACAAGGCUUCGACGGGUAGCCGGCCUGAGAGGGUGACCGGCCACACUGGGACUGAGACACGGCCCAGACUGCUACGGGAGGCAGCAGUGGGGUAUAUUGGACAAUGGGCGAAAGCCUGAUCCAGCAGCGCAGCGUGAGGGAUGACGGCCUUCGGGUUGUAAAACUCUUUCGCCUGCGACGAAGCGAGAGUGACGGUAGCAGGUAAAGAAGCACCGGCCAACUACGUG